rnacentral:misc_RNA from 1 species
CUUUGAUGCUUACGAGGACUCAUCGGCCAGAAGUGAUUCUAAAGGGUUUUGGGGUGUUCUUGCUAGGAAAGCUAAAGCAAUUCUUGAGGAGGAUAAUAAGUCAUCACAAUUAGAAACACCUGAAAGGUCAAGGUUCCAGAUGCCAGAUACCUCUGUAGGUGGCCAGUCUCAGCAAUCGAACCUAACACCUGAUAGGAAAAUGGAUAAUCCGAGAUUACGGAAGGGCCUUGAUAAAAUCACAUCUUCCCUUAAUCAGAUAGGUGACACCUUUGAAAAGGCUUUUGAGGUAAGAAUUCUAGAUUAUUUUCUGUAAAAUGCAUAUUUUAUGGAAUUUCUUUUGUUAGCUUGCUUGUUCAACUCUAGCAAGUUCACUUCCACUUGAUAAACUCAUUAUUUUGAUAUCUGUUGACUUGACAAGGUAAUGAUUACCAAUUAACCAUCUGUUCACCUAGUGUAGGCUUGCUCAGUUACUCUGAUUGACGUGUAACCAGCAUUCUUACGUGGUACACUUAAAUAAAAAGUCCUGCCUACUUUGUUUAUAAGAUUUUGGCUGAAAUUUCUUAGGCAAAAGUAAACUUUGAUCUAUUAGUCUUAAGUUUAUCUAUGGACUUCUGUAGUAUGAAAGAGAGGUCUGAUUUGAUGCUUUAUUGUUUAGAAUUAAACUACUUGUCUGCUAUUACAUCCCUUCAGAAUUCCUCAAUGUGCUUGAUUUCCUUCCACAUUCAAAGGCACGUGUCAUUUCAUGACCCUCCUGAUCAUGUGAAAGUCCCUGGGACUAACUCAGGUGUGGGAGUAGGGUGGAUUUCAGUAGAAGUUAUAAGAGUAGAGCCACAGUACUCUUCACUUGUUAUUUGCACCAAAAAGAAGUCAUGGUUCUUCCCUGUUUAUGUGAAAAGCCCUCAGAGUAGUUCAAAGCUGAGCUCUCUCUCAAGUUUUUUUAACUUUGGUUUGAGGUUGGACCAGCAAUUUUUUUAUCGGUUUCCUUCUGCAGAUGGUAAAUAGACAAGUUAGAUUCGAGCAAGAAAUGAGUAGAUAACUGAAACCAGCAAAAGUUUGCUUUCAUAUUUAAGCAUUCGCUAACGUGGUUUUAGGUAUACAGACUAAAUUUUCUUACUUCAACUUAACUGCUUGAUUUUCCAGGAAGGUCGCACUAUUGUGGAAAAUAAGACUGCAGAUAUCAUCCAAGAAACUCGCAAACUGCAAAUUAGGAGAAAGGGAAGCAGUCUUGUGGAACAAAAUCAAGCUUCUGGUGCAAAUAGUUCAUGGCAGCAACCCAUGAUGCAGCCUAAUCAGCCGCAGAAUCAAAUGAACCAUGAAAAUCAAUUGAAGGCAUCUCGCGACGUUGCAAUGGCAACUGCUGCAAAAGCAAAACUUCUUCUUCGGGAACUGAAGACAGUUAAAGCAGACCUGGCUUUUGCAAAACAAAGAUGUUCACAACUAGAGGAAGAGAACAAAAUCCUGAGGGAGAGUCGUGAAAAGGGAGGCAACCCAGCAGACGAUGAUUUGGUACCAUAUAUUUGUAUUUUAUUAUAAUCCUUUAAUGGCAAUGACCUUAAAGUAAGACUGAUGCUUGCCGUUUAUCCCUAAUUUUGUAGUUUAGAUGAUAACUUUAAGCUGAUGCCUGAUUGUGCUGACCUUUUGGUUCUUGAGUUUUUGCACUGUUUUAUCUGUAGGAAGCUCGCACAUUCAUGUAUCUUAAGUUGUGCUUCAACUGGUGUUGGAUGAUUGUGGCUGUGGUUAACUAACUUGAUGCACAUGCUUGUGAUCUCAGAUUCGCCUUCAACUGGAGACACUUUUGGCUGAGAAGGCUCGUUUGGCACAUGAGAAUUCAAUAUUUGCACGUGAGAACCGGUUUCUGAGGGAAAUUGUUGAAUACCACCAACUCACCAUGCAAGAUGUUGUUUAUUUGGACGAAGGCAGUGAAGAAGUCACUGAAGUUUACCCAAUUGCAAAGAUGCUUUCUAUUUCCCCACCCUCACCAGUUUCUCCACCCUUACCUUCUGAGAUUACUGCAUCUGCAAGCCCACCAGCAACAAAGGAAAUAUUUCCUGUGCCUAACCUACCACAAGAAAUGCAGGAAGCUUCAGGAAAUGAUGCUUCACCAAGUUCAGUUACACCUGUAGUUGAGGAAGAAGACGC